rnacentral:rRNA from 1 species
UACGUAGGGGGCAAGCGUUGUCCGGAUUUAUUGGGCGUAAAGAGUGUGUAGGCGGCCUGAAAGGUCAGCUGUGAAAACUCGAGGCUCAACCUCGAGACGUCGGUUGAAACCAUCUGGCUAGAGUCCGGAAGAGGAGUGUGGAAUUCCCGGUGUAGCGGUGAAAUGCGCAGAUAUCGGGAAGAACACCCGUGGCGAAGGCGGCACUCUGGGACGGUACUGACGCUGAGACGCGAAAGCGUGGGGAGCGAACAGG